UACGAAGGGGGCUAGCGUUGUUCGGAUUUACUGGGCGUAAAGCGCACGUAGGCGGCUUUUUAAGUCAGGGGUGAAAUCCUGGAGCUCAACUCCAGAACUGCCUUUGAUACUGAGAGCUUGAGUCCGGGAGAGGUGAGUGGAACUGCGAGUGUAGAGGUGAAAUUCGUAGAUAUUCGCAAGAACACCAGUGGCGAAGGCGGCUCACUGGCCCGGUACUGACGCUGAGGUGCGAAAGCGUGGGGAGCAAACAGG
rnacentral:rRNA from 1 species